AUGAGCCCAAGCAUCUACACAACACUGUUGGCAGAGGACAGAGCCCUGCACUCAAUCCUCAGGGAACCUGCCCCAAAGCUGCUGUCUUCCUCCUCCUGGCAGAUCAUGUUCCUACUUAAAAAGAAACCAAAAAACUGUCAAGUUCCACAUAUCCAGAAAGAACCCUGUGGUAGCAGACGUUGGGACCUGCUGCAGCCUGCUGAUCCCUUUUGUAGCAGUUGCACUCCGGGGCCCGCAGUCCCUGGUGAGGCACCAUUUUCUCCUCCAGGAUCUGUCCCACGGCUGUCACGAGCACCUGAGCCUCAGCAGGCCCCCUGCCCACAGCCGACCUGCCUGAUGCUCGGUUCUGGGCAGAUGUUGGCGAAGGCUUGCCUUUUGGGCCAGGAUCUUUCUGUCCUUUGCCUUUACCAGGAAAAAUCCACUGCAGAAAGUGCCUCACCUUUCUUCUGAAUUGGCUUUCUGGAGGAACCUCCUCCUUCUUCAGCAAGACGGGACAGAACUUGCUUCUUGAGGGCUCUGGGGAUGCCUUGUCCAGGGAACGAUGGUUCAUCUCACUGAUUUGGAAGACCUUUAGUUCUUCUACCUCUUCCUCAUGCUCUCCUGCGUUGGGCCUCCUGUAGUACUCUCUCUCUUGAGCGGGGAUAGACAACUUGCUCUGGCUCCUAGAGGGGGCCUGCAGGACCAGGGUCUCUGGCUGCCACUGGCUGUCCUGCCCACUCGAUACGAGGCCAAGCAGCAUCUGGGAAGUUGAUGCGUCUUCACUGGACAAACUCUGGAAGUCAGACAGAGAUCCCUGAGAAGCCAACAUGUCUGCAGCAAGGAACAUAUUGGACUGACAUUCUUGAAGAAGACUGUUGGUGGCACAAUCUUGAAGAAUCACCCCAGUUUCACAGUCUUCAAGAAGCACAUUGGAGACGGGGGCUUGAGGCUGGUUCUCUGACUCUGCCAAUCUCUGGACUGCAGACUCUCUAAGCUGUUCAUCAAGGCAUGGCUCUUCUGGGUCUUGGGCAACCAACUUUACAGAUGCUGAGGGUCCAUUACUGCCCCCAGAAGACCCCGAUCUUCUCAGAUCCACAUGGAUGGUUUGGUCAUUAGGAAGCACACUGGGUUCUAAGGUGUCACCCCAAGCAGGGGCCUCCUCACUCUCUGCUGCCUCCCUGGACUCUUUGGCACUCAAAGACUGGGACUCUAAGUUGAGCUCUAGCACUGUUACGUUGCAGCAGGAGUCUCGUGAGGUCCAACCCCCCGUCUCCCUCCUUGGCUCACUGGUGGCCGUUGCUGGACUUGGACUUGACUCCAAGCUGCUAUACUCAAAAGCCCCCAAGACAGUUUCACUGUGCCAGAUUCUGCCCACAAAGCUGUAUGUGAGGGUCUGAGGAGGUGGUCUGGCCUCCUGUCCAGCCACAGGGGCCUCUGGGGGCCCAUGGCCCUCACCAAGUGAGAUCCCUUC
rnacentral:lncRNA from 12 species